rnacentral:rRNA from 1 species
CAGCCGCCGCGGUAAUACGAACCGUGCGAACGUUAUUCGGAAUCACUGGGCUUAAAGCGCGUGUAGGCGGGCCGGCACGUCGGUCGUUGAAAUCCCCCGGCUCAACCGGGGAAGUGGCGCCGAUACGACCGGCCUGGAGGAACGUAGGGGGAGCUGGAACUUCCGGUGGAGCGGUGAAAUGCGUUGAGAUCGGAAGGAACGCCCGUGGCGAAAGCGAGCUCCUGGACGUUUUCUGACGCUGAGACGCGAAAGCCAGGGGAGCGAACGGGAUUAGAUACCCCGGUAGUCCCUGUCUCUUAUA